CCACACUUCAAGUUAUUCAAUCCAAGGUUUCACAAUGGCACGCAAGAUAGCACUAGUAGUCUUGUCUCUAUCGGUGUUUGCGUUCUUCCUCUGCCUUGGUAUUGCCGAAGCUGACCUGCAGUGCAAGUUCACGAUUCACCCUUACUACCAUGGUAAGUGCAAGACAAAGCAUGACAGCGAGAAUUGUCAAAUUUCUUGUACCAGAUUAAAGGCGCCAAAGUACAACGAUGGCGCAUGCGCUAAUGAACGAUGUUUCUGUGCUACCUGUCAUUGAUCAUUGAACUCUUUCACCGCUGGGGGAGCCAUCAAGAUACAUCACUGCCAUGGAAAGAUUAGAGCUCCUAGGAGAAUCCUUUUUUUUUGUUGUAUCAGAAUAAAUUGGCAAAUGUAUCUGAAUCUGGCUGUGCUUUAGCAAGUAUCUAUUUCCGAUGAGUUGCGAUAAA